AGCAGACAGCGCUGCCCUGCUCACACUGCUCCUGUCUGUGUGCACCAGGUGUUUCAGGAGCUGCAGGGGCUGCUGGGAGAGCCCGAGACAGGCAGCGAGACACCCAGGGACCUACGACACAGAGCCGCACGACCCAUCUCCACACAAGGUGACCAAUCAGAAACGAAGAAGCUUCAUGCCCCACCCUUCAAGGAUUAUCUCUCCUCCUUCCCCUUACUGCGAUUGGUCCUGGGGAUCUGCUUUGCCAUGACAACGGUAGCAAUAGGGAUGUAUGCAUUGUAAAAAGGAUGGGAAAAGGACACAUUGGGCACAAGGGAGCCAGUGGUCAACUAGAACCAUCUGUGACAGUGUGACAACUCCAGACACCCACAACUCUUUGUGUAAAGCUGUAGAGAGAAGUCACCCAGAGCCCCACACAGCCUUCAUCAUUAUCAAUCCUCUAGAGCAGCUGAACAGACCCUCAGUCUGUAACAACACGUCUGCACCUCUGUGUCCUGUGUCAGGGGGACAGUGGGGUUACAGACAGAGACUGGACACUGGAGCUGGAGAGAGGAUAGA